ACACUCCUGCGGGAGGCAGCAGUAGGGAAUCUUCCACAAUGGGUGCAAACCUGAUGGAGCAAUGCCGCGUGAGUGAAGAAGGUCUUCGGAUCGUAAAGCUCUGUUGUUAGAGAAGAACACGUGCUAGGUAACUACUAGCGCCUUGACGGUAUCUAACCAGAAAGUCACGGCUAACUACGUGCCAGCAGCCGCGGUAAUACGUAGGUGACAAGCGUUGUCCGGAUUUAUUGGGCGUAAAGGGAGCGCAGGCGGUCUGUUUAGUCUAAUGUGAAAGCCCACGGCUUAACCGUGGAACGGCAUUGGAAACUGACAGACUUGAAUGUAGAAGAGUAAAAUGGAAUUCCAAGUGUAGCGGUGGAAUGCGUAGAUAUUUGGAGGAACACCAGUGGCGAAGGCGAUUUUCUGGUCUAACAUUGACGCUGAGGCUCGAAAGCGUGGGGAGCGAACAGGAUUAGAUACCCCUGUAGUCCCAUGAU
rnacentral:rRNA from 1 species